rnacentral:lncRNA from 1 species
GCCAUCCGAGCGCCAGACUCGCACGGUAGAUGGACACCACUCACAUCCCGUGCUGCCCUGGCCAGAUCCACGCCCACACGCCACCGCGGCGCCAGAUUCAUAGUUUUAAUUUUAGAAAUGGGCAUGAUAUUAUUCAGAAUGUAAAACUGUGUGUUUUCGUGCAGAUGCGCCUGAAUAAAAAAUUGGAACUGAGACGAAAUUUGAAAAAUUACAGAAAGUACGAAACAAUACCUUUUAUCUUCUCGUCUUUAAACAGGAGACGAAUUCAAUUUGCAGGUUCCGUCUCAACGAAGUUCACAGAUGUCUGGCUGCACAAGUUGGUUCCAGUAUUUCUCAGACGGUGUUGAACAAUAAUAAUAAAAAUAGGAAGAUCAAAAGGGGGAAGAAUAGGAGAGACCUGCACCUGUACUGAUCAUCGCUACGCAGGUCUGGACGACUAUGGAUUCUGGAGAUUCUGCCUUUCCAAGCAAAAUACGAGAAGAUGUCUCCAAGCUGGGUACAGAGUGCGUAGCAACUUGUAGCAAGACGUGCGAAAGUAGAGCAGCGAGGGUCUUGUACAGCCAAGUCUGCUAAAUGGCUGGCGAUAGGCCUAG